AUACGGAGGGUGCAAGCGUUAUUCGGAAUCACUGGGCGUAAAGGACGCGUAGGCGGGUUGGCAAGUUAGAUGUGAAAUCCUACAGCUUAACUGUAGAACUGCAUUUGAAACUGCUAACCUAGAGUAUGGGAGGGGGAGAUGGAAUUAGUGGUGUAGGGGUAAAAUCCGUAGAUAUCACUAGGAAUACCGAAAGCGAAGGCGAUCUCCUGGAACAUAACUGACGCUAAGGCGUGAAAGCGUGGGGAGCAAACAGGAUUAGAAACCCUAGUAGUCC
rnacentral:rRNA from 1 species